UUUAAUAUUGAUUAGAUACAAAUUCAAGCAAUGAAGAUGAUACAGUGAGGGUGGAUCCAUUGGACAAUUUCAACAAGUAUAGAGGAGGAUUUGAUAUCACUAACAAACAUUAUUGGACUUCAGUUGUUUUUACAGGGAUCUACGGCUUCGCAAUCGCAUUCUUAUGGCUUUUGUGUGGAUUAUUGUACGGAAUAUAUCUCCUGGCAAUCGCUUACUGUUGCAGAAGAACCAGAAAACCCAGAACGAAAUCGGUCUGUCACAAGCAGUGUUACUUAUGGCCUAUUCUCCUAGCUAUGAUCUUCACAAUCCUUGCACUAGUUGCUUCAGGUUUAGCUCUUGGAGGCACAGUUAGAUUCCAUUCCGAAGCGAAAACUGUGGCGGACAUUGUUAUAAGAACGGCAAAUGAGGCAUCGCAAACUAUAUAUAAUACAACGGGAGCCAUGAAGGAAAUGAGGGAUAGCUUGGGAGACACGGAUGUAACUGGUCAGGCUUCUACUUUUCUUACGACUACAUCUCAGAGAAUGGAUGUCGAAGCCGAUGAUAUCACGAGACAGGCA